GGGGUAAAGCCUACCAAGACAAUGAUGCAUAGCCGAGUUGAAAGACUGAUCGGCCACAUUGGGACUGAGACACGGCCCAAACUCCUACGGGAGGCUGCAGUAGGGAAUCUUCCACAAUGGGCGAAAGCCUGAUGGAGCAACGCCGCGUGUGUGAUGAAGGCUUUCGGGUCGUAAAGCACUGUUGUAUGGGAAGAAAAGUUAAGGUAGGGAAUGACCUUAGCCUGACGGUACCAUACCAGAAAGGGACGGCUAAAUACGUGCCAGCAGCCGCGGUAAUACGUAUGUCCCGAGCGUUAUCCGGAUUUAUUGGGCGUAAAGCGAGCGCAGACGGUUGGUUAAGUCUGAUGUGAAAGCCCGGAGCUCAACUCCGGAAAGGCAUUGGAAACUGGUUAACUUGAGUGCAGUAGAGGUAAGUGGAACUCCAUGUGUAGCGGUGGAAUGCGUAGAUAUAUGGAAGAACACCAGCGGCGAAGGCGGCUUACUGGACUGUAACUGACGUUGAGGCUCGAAAGUGUGGGUAGCAAACAGGAUUAGAUACCCUGGUAGUCCACACCGUAAACGAUGAACACUAGGUGUUAGGAGGUUUCCGCCUCUUAGUGCCGAAGCUAACGCAUUAAGUGUUCCGCCUGGGGAGUACGACCGCAAGGUUGAAACUCAAAGGAAUUGACGGGGACCCGCACAAGCGGUGGAGCAUGUGGUUUAAUUCGAAGCAACGCGAAGAACCUUACCAGGUCUUGACAUCCUUUGAAGCUUUUAGAAAUAGAAGUGUUCUCUUCGGAGACAAAGUGACAGGUGGUGCAUGGUCGUCGUCAGCUCGUGUCGUGAGAUGUUGGGUUAAGUCCCGCAACGAGCGCAACCCUUAUUGUUAGUUGCCAGCAUUCAGAUGGGCACUCUAGCGAGACUGCCGGUGACAAACCGGAGGAAGGCGGGGACGACGUCAGAUCAUCAUGCCCCUUAUGACCUGGGCUACACACGUGCUACAAUGGCGUAUACAACGAGUUGCCAACCUGCGAAGGUGAGCUAAUCUCUUAAAGUACGUCUCAGUUCGGACUGCAGUCUGCAACUCGACUGCACGAAGUCGGAAUCGCUAGUAAUCGCGGAUCAGCACGCCGCGGUGAAUACGUUCCCGGGUCUUGUACACACCGCCCGUCACACCAUGGAAGUUUGUAAUGCCCAAAGCCGGUGGCCUAACCGUAAGGAGGGAACCGUC
rnacentral:rRNA from 1 species